AGCGAACGCUGGCGGCAGGCCUAACACAUGCAAGUCGAACGAGACCUUCGGGUCUAGUGGCGGACGGGUGAGUAACACGUGGGAACGUGCCCUUUGGUCCGGAACAACUCAGGGAAACUUGAGCUAAUACCGAAUGUGCCCUUCGGGGGAAAGAUUUAUCGCCAUUGGAGCGGCCCGCGUCUGAUUAGCUAGUUGGUGAGGUAAUGGCUCACCAAGGCGACGAUCAGUAGCUGGUCUGAGAGGAUGAUCAGCCACACUGGGACUGAGACACGGCCCAGACUCCUACGGGAGGCAGCAGUGGGGAAUCUUGCGCAAUGGGCGAAAGCCUGACGCAGCCAUGCCGCGUGAAUGAUGAAGGUCUUAGGAUUGUAAAAUUCUUUCACCGGGGACGAUAAUGACGGUACCCGGAGAAGAAGCUCCGGCUAACUUCGUGCCAGCCGCCGCAGUAACAC
rnacentral:rRNA from 1 species